GUUAUUAAAAAACUGUUACAGUAUUUGUGCAAUUUUGUUCCCCUUACUUUACCUCCAUACUACUCUUGCACUAAACUUUUCUUGCAUGCAUUUCAGAUCCCACUCACACCAACAGCACCAAAAGAGAUACAAAUGCAAUCCCAGAAUGUUCCGACUGGAUGUUUGACAUUGAGGAGAAUGAUGCUGAUUCCGUGAUGAUAAUCAUCAAACUCAAAGAAAAAAAUCCCAGUGGCAAUUCAAGUACCAUUGCUCCCUCCAUGUCUACGUCUAUCCCCGAUAUUUCCCCUAGCUCUAGUAUCCCUAGUAAUUAUGUUACGGAUAAAACCAGAGCUAUAGAAAAUAUUGAUGGGUACACACUUGAAUUCAAUGAUAGCUCUUCAUCUCACUGGAACACUGGUGUUCCAAUCGUCAUCAGCAACACACAAUUGAAACCAUGCACCACCUACCAAAUAAAUGUCAUUGCCACUGCCAACACCAGCCGCGUUUGUAGAUUAAGUGGUACCACAACCAGUUUCACAACCAGACACAUAGGCGAGAACGAGUUCAGCUCAAACGUGACCCAGAAAAACGACACAAUUAAAAUGUGUUUUGGGACUCACACGUGGAAUAUAAAGGACUCAUGGUGUUUCGAGAAGAAGAAGACCUGUGAGGUGACAUCAUUAGUCAUACCUGUGGAAAACUGUGGUGUCACCAUAAAGCGUGUGCCCCUUGUUGAUCAGAUUGAUGUCAAUUAUACGCCAAAAUACCCUAUUGUGAUUGAAUGGACAAAUAAUCCCAGUGAAUGUCAGAAUGAGACUUUGGAUUUCAACUGUACAGGACCAGAUGGUAGUUGAUGAAUUAGAACCAUUCAAACAUUAUACCUGCAUCGGAACCUACAACAAAUCUAAUUUAAUCCUUCAGGGCCAAA